rnacentral:lncRNA from 1 species
CUUCACCUUUCGCCAAUGACUGGUCUGAGGAAGGAAUUGUGAUGCAGCUUGAUAAUCUGUCAGGGGAUAUUGAGUGAAGAGAAUAAGACAAACAUUUCAUGGAAGCAAAAUAAUCAAACCAAUGAACAAACAAAUCUACAAAAUCUACACACUUUAGACAGAAAAAAAAAGUCUCUAUUAUAGAACAUAGUGACUGCAAAAUUGCUGUCUUCAGCACAAAUAAACUUUAUCGUUAUGUCAGAAACUUUAAUUCUGACAGCAGAGCAUAGUUACAAACCACAGUGUCUAUCUGUAAUCAUUGAUGAAUUUUCGAUAUCCUAGUUUCAGACUACUCCAUGCCCAGAAAAAUGCUGAGACCAUCAGUUUGCCUUGGUAUGGCAUCGAAGUCAAAUGGCAACUGGCUUAUUUACUUUCUCUAAUUCAUAUGGCUGAAGAAGCUUCUUAAAAUAUUCAGUACUAAUCUGUUUCUCUGAGAGACUGAUGCCCACCAUACCUACACUAUUGUCUAAUUAACAGGAGAGAUAAAACACUUGUGUAACCAGGGCCAGCCAUGAGCAAGGUGGAAAGAUACUUCCCAGGCCAACUGAAGAGAGUAGAGGUUUUUAUUAGUGGUUAUAUCUAAAGAAGAGUUAAGUAUAGGGAGGAACUAGUGCUUGGAAACUACAGACUACAAGGGACUGACUGUAGAUAUGAACUUUAAACAAGAGGUAGAAGUUUCACUUUUGUUGUGGCAAAUAUUUCCAAGAACUUUCUUCUGAACUUAUAAAUAACUCUGACUUCCUUCUGUUCAGCUUCCACUGACUGUUCUCCUUUCCAAGGCUGAUUGUGUCUAUGUGCUACAGUUGUUAACUGCUCUUGCCUCAGUCCCUAUGGAAAUGGAAAUAAAUCUGAGAUGAUACUGAAAGGUUGCUAGGAAACAGCCACAUGAUGAUGAGGAGGAGGAGACCAGUUUCCUGGUCUCUCUUCAGGGUAUUUCUCUGCUGUUUGUCGAUCAGGAUGACCACUGAUGAUUUGCCAAUUCCAGGUACCAGAAGAACUGUAAUUGAAGAUCACCUGUUUAUUUGUCUACCAUCUUUGGGUUUGACCCUUUCCAUGAGAAACCUGCCAUUAUAUUUGUCUGAGUUUGAAAAAAAAAAGUUUAUUUUUCCUGUUUUCAUCAGGCAAUGUUUAUAUCUUAGGAAGUAAAAGUCUCCCUGGUCAAGCUCCCUCCACACAUGCAUCGAAAUAUCUGGUAUCGAUUUUGAUCCCUUCUAUUUAUGUAAAAUUUAUUCUAUCAGGAAAAUGAUCAGAAAAGCCUUAGUGUGAUGAUCAGAAGAGGGUUGGUUGUUCUUGGGAAAAGUUAAGAGGCCUAUUAAAGAAUAGAAUGAGAGGGUUUGUUAUUACUUUUUACGAAUAUAACAGAGUAAACAUGCGAGUUAAAAGACAUACAUUGAAGAAUGAUUAAAAAAUUGAUAAUUUAGUGACUAAAUUCUACUAAGUACCUAUUAUAUCUUUAAUUCAAACUGCAAAACUUCUAUUUUUCUGUUAAUUAAGGUUCCGGACUCGUUCUGAAUUCAGAUGAAAUUUGGAUUGCAACCUCAGACCUGAUUCAUGACCUCUUUCUAUAAAAAAAGAUCUUGUAAGGACUCAGUCAAACACUAUUAGUUAUAACAUUUUUU